rnacentral:rRNA from 1 species
CCUACGUGAGGCAGCAGUGAGGAAUAUUGGUCAAUGGGCGCGAGCCUGAACCAGCCAAGUCGCGUGAAGGAUGACUGCCCUACGGGUUGUAAACUUCUUUUAUAAAGGAAUAAAGUGAGGCACGUGUGCCUUUUUGUAUGUACUUUAUGAAUAAGGAUCGGCUAACUCCGUGCCAGCAGCCGCGGUAAUACGGAGGAUCCGAGCGUUAUCCGGAUUUAUUGGGUUUAAAGGGAGCGUAGAUGGGUUGUUAAGUCAGUUGUGAAAGUUUGCGGCUCAACCGUAAAAUUGCAAUUGAUACUGGCAGUCUUGAGUACAGUUGAGGUAGGCGGAAUUCGUGGUGUAGCGGUGAAAUGCUUAGAUAUCACGAAGAACUCCGAUUGCGAAGGCAGCUUACUAAACUGCCACUGACAUUGAUGCUCGAAAGUGUGGGUAUCAAACAGGAUUAGAUACCCCAGUAGUC